rnacentral:tRNA from 1 species
GCGGAUAUGGCGAAAUUGGCAGACGCGCUGGAUUUAGGUUCCAGUGGGGCAACCCGUGGAGGUUCAAGUCCUCUUAUCCGCACCA